AACGAACGCUGGCGGCAGGCUUAACACAUGCAAGUCGAGCGCCCCGGUAACGGGGAGCGGCAGACGGGUGAGUAACGCGUGGGAAUCUACCCAANCCUACGGAAUAACGCAUGGAAACGUGUGCUAAUACCGUAUACGCCCUUAGGGGGAAAGAUUUAUCGGGGAUGGAUGAGCCCGCGUUGGAUUAGCUAGUUGGUGGGGUAAAGGCCUACCAAGGCGACGAUCCAUAGCUGGUCUGAGAGGAUGAUCAGCCACAUUGGGACUGAGACACGGCCCAAACUCCUACGGGAGGCAGCAGUGGGGAAUAUUGGACAAUGGGCGCAAGCCUGAUCCAGCCAUGCCGCGUGAGUGAUGAAGGCCCUAGGGUUGUAAAGCUCUUUCACCGGUGAAGAUAAUGACGGUAACCGGAGAAGAAGCCCCGGCUAACUUCGUG
rnacentral:rRNA from 2 species